GGUGGGCUGCAGCUGCGAGCCACGGGCUGAAUGGACAGCCGAGGAAAAGUAUGGCUUCUCUCCAACUCAGGGCUAAGCAGACUCUCACUCCAGCUGGCUGGACAUGGAGGAUUUGGAAGAAGAUGUCAAGUUUAUUGUGGAUGAGACCCUGGACUUUGGAGGACUGUCACCAUCUGACAGCCGUGAGGAGGAAGACCUAACAGUGCUAGUGACUCCAGAGAAACCACCCCGACGGGGCCUCUCCCACCGAAGUGACCCAAAUACGGUGACCCCUGCCCUCCAGGGGCUGAGGCUCAGCUUAGGCCCGCUCAGCCCAGAGAAGCUGGAAGAGAUCCUGGACGAGGCCAACCGGCUGGCAGCCCAGCUGGAGCAGUGUGCCCUGCAGGAACGGGAGGGCUCAGGUGAGGGCUCGGGGUCGCGGCGCGUGAAGCCCAGCCCUCGGCGGGAGACCUUUGUGCUGAAGGACAGUCCCGUCCGAGACCUGCUGCCUACCGUGAACUCUUUGGCUCGGAGCACCCCCUCCCCGAGCAGCAUGACACCGCGACUCCGGAGCAGCGACCGGAAGGGGUCUGUCAGGGCUCUUCGGACGGCGUCUGGAAAGCGGCCCGCCAGCACAAAGAGAGAGUCACCCACUUGCAAUCUGUUCCCUGCAUCCAAAAGCCAAGCGCCCUCUCCUCUCACUCGAUCAACGCCUCCAGCCCGGGGGAAAGCAGGGCCCAGUGGGAGGGCAGCAGCGAGUGAGAAGCCCUGGGCGGCCAUGCUGCGGGAAGCAGCUGCUCAAUCUUCUGGUCAGCAACCCGGCCCCUCAGCCAUCCCCCGACCUGCCAGUCGAAUGCCAUUCAGCAGCCGGAGCGUCCCACCUAGCAGAGGUGCCCUACCGCCAGAUUCUGUGUCAGCUCGGAAAGGGCUUCCCAGACCAAGUGCUGCAGGGCACAGAGGUGAGGAAAAGUAGACGGAAGGUUCCUGCUUCCCAGCGACCAAAUCUUCCUGUUGUGGGUACCACUCGUAGCAAUCUGCAGUCCCCCAGGAAAGUUGCGGUCCCGGGACCUACCAGGUAAAGGGAUCAGGACAUCAAGCAAGAAUUCAGUAGCAAACCACUACAGUCACCGCCUGGACUCACCUCUGCCCAGCAGGCCCUGAUGCCAGCAGAUUCCGGCCCAGGGACAGAAGGACGAGAUGCCGCCAGGGCUGGUCCCCCAGGAGGAGAGACCAUGGGAGAUGGGGUGGAUUAGGGUUGAGCUGGAGAAGACUUAAACUCUCUGGUUGAAAGAAGAUUAGGGAAAAAGAGGUCACCUUCCUGCUCUGAAAUUAACAAAACGAGAAACACGGGCAAGAGGUGUGUCCUUGCCCACCCCCGCUCUUGUGGUCAGCUGGGAGAGACUUUGACCUUCUUCCCAGGCCGCCAUUCCCUGGACAUUUCCAUGUGAAUGACCCCGUAGCUAACCUCCCUGCUCUCCGAGGAGCUGUCUUCCUGAAUCACAUCCUCUGCUGGACUUGGGCCUGCUUGGAGAGUCAAAGGCAGGCACCUGGGCUCCACAACUUGUUUCCUGUGAAUUCUGUGACUCCUAAUAGGCCAGUGUGUGAUAAGCUUACUCCAGCAGUCUUCGUUUUUCUAAAAUAAAAUGAAUGUAUUUUUAUAUUCUCUGUAU